rnacentral:rRNA from 1 species
UACAGAGGUCUCAAGCGUUGUUCGGAUUCAUUGGGCGUAAAGGGUGCGUAGGCGGCGCGGUAAGUCGGGUGUGAAAUUUCGGAGCUUAACUCCGAAACUUCAUUCGAUACUGCCGUGCUUGAGGACUGGAGAGGAGACUGGAAUUUACGGUGUAGCAGUGAAAUGCGUAGAGAUCGUAAGGAAGACCAGUGGCGAAGGCGGGUCUCUGGACAGUUCCUGACGCUGAGGCACGAAGGCCAAGGGAGCAAACGGG